CGGAAAGUAGUAGCAAUAUUACUUUUAGCGGCGAACGGGUGAGUAAUACUUAUCUUACUUGCCAAUUAGUGGGGGAUAACCAUGGGAAACCAUGGCUAAUACCGCAUUUGUUACUUAGUAAUGAAAGGGGGUCGCAAGACUUUCGCUAAUUGAUAGGGAUAAGCCGUAUUAGUUAGUUGGUAGGGUAAUGGCCUACCAAGACAAUGAUGCGUAGUCAGCCUGAGAGGGUGAAUGGCCACAAGGGAACUGAGACACGGUCCCUACUCCUACGGGAGGCAGCAGUGAGGAAUUUUCGGCAAUGGGGGAAACCCUGACCGAGCAAUACUACGCGAAGGAGGAAGGUCUACGGA
rnacentral:rRNA from 1 species